AGCUUUAAAGGCAUGAGCUCUGAUUUAAUAUCACUUAGGCAGCCACUAAAGAACAUAAAGAAUGAGGCUGCUGACCUUGUUCCUGACAGACAUUUUUCGGUUUUCAUGUUCCAAAAAUUAUUAAGAAGGGGCUUCUGCCAACAUGACUUUUCCUGAGUCUCUUGUGUUAACGAGGAGAGCUUUGCUGAUGUACUCACGAUUUCAAACUGGAAGAGCUCUCUGAGAAUUCAGCUGCCAGAGAGAGAGAGAGAGAGAAGACUUACCCUCAGCACCUAGAGAAUGUGAGAAUUCUGCUGCCACAAAUCCCCCUCCAGGGACCUUCCAGACAGGCAGGAGAGUGACCAUUCGCACCAGCACCUGGAUGAGAAUUGUGAAAAUGUGUCACAAACCUUAUCAGAACCUCCCACACUUUCCCACAGAAGCUCUGACCAUCAACAUGCCCUUAUUAUGCUGAUAGUAUAUAAACCUUUACCCAUGGGUGUUCAAAGAGAUUCUCUUUAUAGAAUGCUGCUGCAUGAGUGUAUGAUAACAUUUUCUCUUGUUACUCUGAAGAAAACUCCAGAUUGUCAAUUAAUUCGCAGGUCCCAACCACCACCAUUCAGACCUCACUUGGUCAAGGAAAAGUUUUCCUGCCAGGUCUCCAAAAUCAACAAGCCACUGAAAUGACCCUGCUCUCCCUCACCUCCAGGAUUCCUGCCAUGAGAGAAUAAACCACAGUUUGUUUAAGCCACUAUUGGUUGGAUUUUCUGCAACUUGAAGCAGAAAGAAGAGCCAGUAGUUCACCCUGUUCAUUCUUUUUGAGCCAAGACACAAGUGCCCACUCUCCAUUCCCCAAAAUGAUGGGAAAAGUCAUAGUUCAGACUUGGACCCCAGAACAAUCACAAAAGAAAGUGGAACCUUGUCUGGUCAGAUCUAUGUUCCAACUCCUAUAUAUCACUAAUGUAGAUCAGCGUCUCACACUUUUUCUUUGCACAACUUAUAUCAACUCUGGAUUAAUCUGGUAAAAUGAAUAGGACAUUUUUAAAACACUGCCAUGGCUUUCAAAAACCUCUUUAUUGUUCAGAAAAUGUUUAGUUUGGGAAAAAAAGCAACUAUGUGUUUUCAUAAUUAAAUGACACUCUUUUCCCUGAAGUCCUCAGUUUGUUGAGGGACAUUGGGAGCUAGGUGAUGAAGGGUAGAUGGAGAAAUGCUGAAAAGGCAGAUCACCCAGAAAAGUUUCUCAAGAGAUCCCCCAGCCAAAGUCCUCCCUACGUCUGUGGCAUUUUUCGGUUUCUGGGGUUUCUAGUGGUCCAACCUAUGACACUUUGCAGCAAAUGCAGUCACAGAGACAAUGUGGCACCCACCGGGAGCCAUUCCCUAACUUUUGGGGUCCCCGCAAAUCCUCCCUUCUCCAUGGAGAAAUUAGAGUCUUUGAGCUGAAUGUGUGUUUCUUCCAGAGUUAGCAGUAGAGGAAGAGGCGGAGGUGGGAGUGAGCUGAGUUCUAGGUAAGCGGGCUGAAAGAAGCAGGAUGGAAGGAUGGGAAGUAAUAAGCACCACACCCAGACCUGUGUCCCAGUGGGAAGCAUUCAGAAACUGAGAAACUGAAUGGGAACUUGAACUACAGAGCCCAAACCUUUAAAUUAACCGGGCAGUUGGCAAGACUCUAAUAGAAUAUUUUCACAUUUUAAAAGCUCCAUGAAAACUAUUUGAAUCUCAGUAUCUUCAUUCACAAAAUAGAAGUAUGGGAAUAAGUGGGUCCUGAGAUUCUCGAGGCUCUGAGAUCUUAUAAUUCUAUAAUUGUCUUCAUGAGAGGAUUUUGGCCAUAGCUUUUUCAAGUUAAAUCCAUAUCUCUUUCAACAGCCUGAAGAAAGAAAGCUCAUGAGUUUGAAAAAGAAAUUCUCAUAUUACCCGCCCCCCACCCCCCCACACACACAAUGGAAUAGCUAGUGCAUUUACUUCCAGCCCAACAAUUGAGUCUCAUAAAUCAGCAGGUUUGGUAAAUCCUUCUGGAAAUUUUAAAAAAAAACACCCACCAUGUAUCAGAGACACAGGCUGCAUUCAGGAUUCAAAGAAAGAUAAGAUACAGCAUCUGCUUUCCUUGCUUAGCUUACACCAACAAUUUUUCAAAUAUUUGUUCCAAAUAUUAUUGAAUAAAUUAAUGAAAAAUUA